UACGAAGGGAGCUAGCGUUGUUCGGAAUCACUGGGCGUAAAGCGCACGUAGGCGGACAUGUAAGUUGGGGGUGAAAUCCCGGGGCUCAACCCCGGAAUUGCCUUCAAGACUGCAAGUCUGGAGGUCAGGAGAGGCGAGCGGAAUUCCGAGUGUAGAGGUGAAAUUCGUAGAUAUUCGGAGGAACACCAGUGGCGAAGGCGGCUCGCUGGACUGAUACUGACGCUGAGGUGCGAAAGCGUGGGGAGCAAACAGG
rnacentral:rRNA from 1 species